CUUGCAAUUGCUCACUGUCACAACAAGGGUGUUUACCACGGAGAUGCUGAUUGGAAAAUCUGUUGUGAGGAUUAUUUAUUAUCUAUCUUAAUCUUUUAACUAUUGUUCCUUGUUCCCCAGCCUGAAUAUUUACUUUUUCCCAUUUUCGUAUUUAACCUCUGACUUAGGGUUGGGGGCUUAGUUGAUUGAUUGAUUGAUUAAUUGAGUAAUUUAUAUGUAACCUAAAAAUCAACUCGUAGGAAUGGGGAAUUUGGUAUAUCAUGCCUGGUGCUUAGAAUUAAUAAUAAAACCUUUAUGGAUCAUUUAGCUUGAAACAUAGAAUAUUUCUUUAUAUUCAAGCUAAGCCAGCUAACCAUCUGGAAAUCAAAUGGACCUUUUUGUGUUCUGGUUUUUUCUUUUUUUAGAGAAGAAAAAGACACUUGCAAUCUUUUACAAUAAAUGAAGCAAACAUCUUAGGCUGGAAAAGUUGGCAAUUGCCAAAUCUAGACCACAUGAAAUGUAAUAUCCACCAAAUGAGUUAUGUACAUUCCUAAAUUACAAGUAUUUUUUUUGGUAAAGUACAUCAUACAAUAAGAAAGUAAAGGUAAAAAUGGCAAUGUAACAGAAGAAUAAAAGCUGAAGAAAAUAGAGAAGAGAAUUACAGAGGAAUAGAUGAAAAAGCAGAAAUACAAGAAACACAAAAAUAGCCUAAUUUGUUAUACCUAUUGAUAGCUACUUAUAACAAACUCCACACCUUCACAUGUUGCCCAAAACAUUCACUAGUCCCCUCUUCAUUUUCACAUAAGAAAUCAGAAAAGCCUAAAUAGUAUAGUCAUCAGUCUGUAAUUUUCUUUCAUACACUGAUAAUUUGCGCCAUAACGCCGUGUUGAUCCCUUUGGCAACGAAUUUAUCUUGCUGCCUGAACCAACUAGCAGUGGCAAAAAUACAAUAACAUAGCAACGGAAAAUAACACUCCUAACAAAGUGACAAGAAGAAAUAAACAUUAUGUUGCCUCCUGUUUGGUUUUUCUUGCUAAGUCGAUGUAAUGCUCAUGCAGAAACUUAACAUGUACAUUGGUGAAGGUCAUCAGAACAUAACAAUAGCUUUGUCACAAAAAGAAAAUCAGGGACAACAUUUCAUUAGCAUCCCCUUAAUCUUGAGAUUUUGUCAUAUUUCAGUAAAAUACAGUUAUUGCUAUUCCUUCAGACACACAGGAUAUUAGGCAUUCACAUAAUACAAAACUGAUGGCAAAACCAGAAAAGGGGGCAAACGAAAUAUAACGAGGAAGCUAUAAAAGGGGAUAGAAGAAGGGAGAAAAAGAAAAUCUACUUAAAAAUGGACGUCAUUAACCUCAAGUUCUCCGCCUAGUAUGCAUGUCCUACAUAAAAAUUAGUGCCUUCAGAGUUUCUGAAUCUUUACCUGCUUGCUCUAAGGUGAAAGCCAGAGCAGAAUUGUGCACCAUACCACAUGGUGUGAGCAUGAAAACAUGCUCUCAUGAAAAAUAAGAAGACUGAUCUGAUCUAUAAACAGGAUCAACUAACCAGAAAGAGGCAAGGGGGUGGUUGUCUUCAUUUUAAUUCAUUGAUCCCUUUUAGUGGCAAUUUUAAAAACAUGAUUUUUAUGAGUUUGAUUGCUCAACAUGCCCAGAUUGGUAAUAGAGAUUCUUAUUAACGUAAUCAUUUUAAAUGUCAGAAAUGCCUUGAGCAUGUCCUCUUCUCGUUCCUUGAUUUUAUAGGUGUUCCUUUUCUCAUCUCCUUUUUCUUGAUUAAUUUGUGAAACCACUCAGAUCCAUGUACAAGCAGAGGAUCAAGAUUGAUGGGAUAAAACGAGACACUUGGCGCUUCAUUAUGAAAGGUUUAAAUUACUCUCUGCGCAACUUAGUUUUUCUUCUAGUCUUCUUUUUGUUAUGAAUCUGUCGUGAUCAUCAACAAUCACGGCUUCGAGG
rnacentral:lncRNA from 1 species